rnacentral:rRNA from 1 species
CCGCGAUUCGCCCUUGGGGUGCACCAGGCGCGAAACCUUUACAAUGCUGGCAACAGCGAUAGGGGGACCUCGAGUGCCAGGUUACAAAUCUGGCUGUCGUUGUGUCUAAAAAACACGAUAUAGCAAGGGCCGGGCAAGACCGGUGCCAGCCGCCGCGGUAACACCGGCGGCUCGAGUGGUAACCGUUAUUAUUGGGUUUAAAGGGUCUGUAGCCGGCCUGGUUAGUCCUUUGGGAAAUCCGGCAGCUCAACUGUCGGGCUUUCAGAGGAUACUGCCAGGCUCGAGACCGGGAGAGGUAAGAGGUACUUCAGGGGUAGGGGUGAAAUCUUGUAAUCCUUGAAGGACCACCAGUGGCGAAGGCGUCUUACCAGAACGGAUCUGACGGCAAGGGACGAAAGCUAGGGGCACGAACCGGAUUAGAUACCCGGGUAGUCCUAGCCGUAAACGAUACUCGCUAGGUGUCGGCCACGGUGCGACCGUGGUCGGUGCCGUAGGGAAACCGUGAAGCGAGCCACCUGGGAAGUACGGCCGCAAGGCUGAAACUUAAAGGAAUUGGCGGGGGAGCAC